rnacentral:rRNA from 1 species
UGACGAGUGGCGAACGGGUGAGUAAUGUAUCGGAACGUGCCCAGUAGUGGGGGAUAACUACUCGAAAGAGUGGCUAAUACCGCAUGAGAACUGAGGUUGAAAGCGGGGGACCUUCGGGCCUCGCGCUACUGGAGCGGCCGAUAUCAGAUUAGGUAGUUGGUGGGGUAAAGGCCUACCAAGCCGACGAUCUGUAGCUGGUCUGAGAGGACGACCAGCCACACUGGGACUGAGACACGGCCCAGACUCCUACGGGAGGCAGCAGUGGGGAAUUUUGGACAAUGGACGCAAGUCUGAUCCAGC